rnacentral:rRNA from 1 species
AUUGAACGCUGGCGGCAGGCCUAACACAUGCAAGUCGAACGAGUGGCGGACGGGUGAGUAAUGCUUGGGAAUCUACCUUAUGGAGGGGGAUAACUACGGGAAACGGUAGCUAAUACCGCGUACCAUCGGAUGUGCCCAGGUGGGAUUAGGUAGUUGGUGGGGUAAAGGCUCACCAAGCCGACGAUCUCUAGCUGGUCUGAGAGGAUGACCAGCCACACUGGGACUGAGACACGGUCCAGACUCCUACGGGAGGCAGCAGUGGGGAAUAUUGCACAAUGGGGGCAAGCCUGACGCAGCCAUGCCGCGUGAAUGAAGAAGGCCUUCGGGUUGUAAAGUUCUUUCAGCGGCGAGGCGUUAACUACAGAAGAAGCACCGGCUAACUCCGUGCCAGCAGCCGCGGUAAUAC